AUCGCUCAUUAAAUGUAAAACAAGGAUAGAAUAAGCAAAUAGCGCUAAUAGCGCGCUCCCCGAAUGCAGCCCUGUGUAUAGUAUAUGUCACUAAUGGUCGCAGGGGAAAGUGAUCAAAACAAGCCGUAUGCCGUAUUGUCCUCUAAAAAAAGGCAGGAAGAAAUAUAAGAAAUAUUAUAACUGAUAAAAUAAGAAAAAAUAAAAGUAAAAUGCGAUAUUGCGAAGCAGUUAAUUGUGGCAAUUCAAGUAAAAAAGUCUUCAAAAUGUGCCAUUUCCCUACCUCUCCGAACCGAAGAGCAAAAUGGAUAAAAAAUGUGGGGCGUGAUAAGUGGUCUCCUAAAAAAUAUUCAACAUUAUGUGAAAAACAUUUUCCGAUGAAAUGUGGGAAAAUGCACAAAAAAUUGGGGAAAAAAAAAUUAAAAGCCAACAGCAGUUCCCAAUCGUUUUGACCAGCCAACUCUUCCUUUAUCUUUACUUACAACUAUUUUAGAAGAGUAUAUUGAAGAACAAACUUCAAACAAUCAUUCUGAACACAAUUGUGAUCAAGAAAUUAACUCGGCAAAUCAUGAAAUUAACUCGGAAACUUUAAACAAUCAUUCUGAACACAGUUGUGAUCAAGAAAUUAACUCGGCAAAUCGAGAAAUUAACUCGGAAACUUCAAACAAUCAUUCUAAACACAAUUGUGAUCAAGAAAUUAACUCGGAAACUUCAAACAAUCAUUCUGAACACAGUUGUGAUCAAGAAAUUAACUUGGCAAAUCAAGAAAUUCACGUUUUAUUUGAUUCUAACAUGCAGUUAAAAUGUUCAAGAAACAAUGAAGACGCAAAGAAAAUUUUUAAGUUGGAGAAAUUGGUUAAAAGAUAUGCGCGAGUUAUAAAGACAAUGCAGACGCAACACAAAAAACAAAAAAAAAUAUUUCUAAACCGCAUUCAGAAACUUAAACAACAAGUACGUGUUAAUAAUACUAUUUCUGCUCUUUUUAAUGAUUUAAUCACAAGUUAAAAUCAUUAACCGACAGUAUAAGAAAGUACCUAAAUGGUGUCAUGCCACAUUAGUAAAAGCGUAUAAAUUAAAGUUUUCUUGCGGAAAUUCUAGAUAUCAAGAAUUGUUAAAUCAAGGACAUCCAUUGGCUUCAGUCCGUACAUUAACAAGAAAAUUAGAGAAUAUAAAGUUUGAACCAGGGAUUAUUGAUGAAGUUUUUGAUUUCUUAAGUAUAAAAAUAUCUCAUUUUAAAAAGGAUACCGAUAAAGACUGCAUUGUAGUAUUAGAUGAAAUGACAAAAGUAAACAAGAAGCUUGUCAGGCUUUAGUUAUCAUGCUUGCUGGCAUUGCUAGUCGAUGGAAACAAAUAGUUGCUUAUCACUUUACUACAAAAACUUUAAAAGGAGUAGAUUUAAAAGAUGUCGUCGAUAAUGUUAUUAAGAAAAGUGAAUAGGCUUACGUAUUCAUGCCAUAACUUCUGAUAUGGGUGGUGCAAAUCAGGGAUUGUGGAAAUUAUUUGGUAUUAAUGCCAAUAGAUUUUCUCGCGUUGUAAGCAUCCUUGUGAUGAAAAAAGAAAACUAUGGUUUUUUGGUGAUAUUCCACACUGUUUUAAAAAUAUUAAAAGUGGAUUUUUAAAUAAUAAAUACAUUGAAAUGUCUCAAAUUUUUGUAGAUAAGUACAAUCUAUCUACGAAUUUAGUAGAAAUAAGUCAUAUAUAAGAAUUAGUUGAAACACAAAAAGAUUUGGAUUUUAUGCUGGCACCAAAGCUUCGUGAAGAAUACUUAAAUACAAAAAAUCAUUUCUUGAAGAUGCGGGUUAGUAGCGCAUCUAACGUAUUGAAUUAUGAUGUUAGCUCAGCAUUAAAUUUUUUAGCUGAAGAAAAAAACAAAGUUUCUUAUAAAUCUACAUCGUGGUUUGUACAAUAUAUUGCUCGUUGGUUUGAAAUAAUGAUUGCGCGCUAUCCUCUCUUUGCUUUGGGGAAAAAAAUGGAGGAGUAUAAUAAAACGAUAACAUUUCUCAAAGAAGCCAUAACUUUUUCUUCUGAAUUAAAAGUUGGAAAGGAUCAAAGUUGGAAACCAUUUCAAACAUCAGCUAUGAUAUCCACUACGUCAUAUAUUCAAGUAUCAGAAUAUUUACUAAAUAAGGGUUUUGAUUUUGUUAUGAGUUCGAGAUUUAGCCAAGAUUGUUUAGAAAAUGUUUUUUGCAUUGUACGGUAAAAACAUCCUACACCAAAUUCCAUUCAAUUUAAAAAUAAUUUAAAGCUAAUCACAAUAUCACAAUAUAUGGAAAAUGUCAGUCACGGUAAUUAUGAGGAAGAUGAUCGAACUUUUUUAUCAGAGUUUUUAGAAAUUUUAGAAAAGAAAAAUACAAAAAAGACUAGAACUAAUGAUGAAAAGAAGAAAGAAGAAGAGGACGGCAAUAAGGAAAAUAACUGUGAUAUCAUUAAUAAUAAUAAUAUUAAUGGUAAUUAUA